rnacentral:lncRNA from 1 species
CGGGCUCAUAGCGUACUCGUAGCACCCGCUCUGAGACAGAGACGACCUGCAAGUUGGAAGACAAAACCCUUCCCCUACAUUACGCAUUCGAGAGGAGUGGUGCAGAAGCUUCAGUCACUGCAUUGACCAUCAUGCAUUCCUCAGAGCACCAGGUCUGUCAGAGUUGGAUUCGAAGCUGGAGCUGAGUCCAAUCUAUAGUUGGUGCUACACUACUGCCUUAAAAUAUUGGUGUCUGAUAAAGGAUUUUGAGACUCGUCCGUCUGUGACCCGCAUUCUGGAACACCCAUUCAUUAAACAGGCCCAUGGCAAAGGCUCUCGGUCAACAGCUGUCCACACUCAUCUGCGAGCAGCAAGACCUGGGCUCCAAACUUAA